rnacentral:sRNA from 1 species
GGCCGCUGGGGGCGCCAGAGAGGCGCAGAGUGCGCGGGGCCGGGGAGAGCGCGGAGUCCAGCAGGCUGAGAGCAGAGCCUGAGUGCGCGGCUGGUUCAGUGGGGCAGGGUCACCUCGCAAGGAUGCUGCACCCCGCCGCCCUGUCCAGCCAGCAACCCGGAGACUGGUGCAACUCCGGAAAGAAGCAAAGGUUCUUUCGCCCAGUCGCCGCUGGAGGACCGAAAGUUUUGCUCGCUGCAAAUCCCUUCCUCCCAAAGUCCCAGUCACCCACCGCGCGACGUCCUGGAAGGAUCCCGGAGGUUUAGUGGGGACGAAAUCGGCUGGUUCGCACCCCUCCAUCCUUAUCUCUCAGGACAGAGCGGGAGCUCUAGCGAGUACACCUCCCACCUACCAUCCGCUUCACCCUGUCUCAUUUCUCGGUGAGCCUUGGAACCCGAUCGCUUAGCAGAUGCCUUCAGGAAGCAGAAGCAAAGGGGAAAUGGACUUAACUCCAAGAAUCAGAUAGUGAAUGUCCACCCUCAGCAAAGGCUUUGCCGCUGUGACCUUCUUUGAUCUCACCCCACCACUACAACGAGGGAGGCCUAAACCUUGUCCACUGGCAGCAUUUGAAGAUCCAGUUGCUGCUAUGGGUUGGAAGGCACCUGUGGAGUGAAAGAGGACAUAGCCACAUUGACCCAGGAUUGAUUGAACUGUCUGCUCUGCUCUGGCAGGGAUGGAGUCCAAGGAUUGGCUGGACUCUUGUGAGAGGUGGGUAUUGAAGCAUCAAUCAGCUGAUGGGCUCCAUGUCGCUUUGUAUCCUGGGAGAAUCAAAUUAUGAGUAAAAUGCCACAGUGACAUGGGAACAAUGACACCAGGAGGAUUAGCUCAGCCUGCCCCAGUGUUCAUUCAUUCCUUGUACCUGCACAGCCCCACCAAAACAAACCUUCCCUGCCCCCUGUCCUGUUCUCACCUUGUUCUUUAUCUUUAGUGUGACCACACCCACAUGUUUAGCCUUGUGUGAAAUUUCAGCAUGCAGGAGACUGAGACAUAAGGAUCACAAGUUCAAGGCCACCCUGUGCUAUGUGUCAAGACCUUGUUUUAAACAAAGGAAAAGGGAAGGAAAAAAAAACAGCAGUACAUAUUUUUCCUAAAUGUAGGACUCUUGGCUCUUCCAGGACCAUGUCUGCCUGCACCCUGCCAUGCUUCCUGCCCUGAUGAUAAUGGACUGAACUUCCGCAACUUGCUGGGGAUUGAACCCACGGCCCCCGCACAUUCCAGGCAAAUGCUCUGCCACCUGGCUACAACUCCAGCUCUUUCUACACUUUUACAGAGUCUUACUAAGUUGCUCAGGGUGACCUUGCACUUGGGAGGCCCAAGCAGGACUUCAGACUAUCAUUCUCCUGCCUUAGCCUCUCCAAGGGCUGGGAUUACAGGUGUGUACCACUAAGUCUGGAGGACUGGGUGAGACCAAGACAGGAUUGCUCUGUGUAGUCCAGGCUGUCCUCAAACUCAGAGAUCUACCUGCCUCUGCCUCCGGAGUGCUGGAGUGCACCACCACCACCUGGCCCAGUUAUAGACUUUUUUUUAAAAAGACCAAAUUUUUAACAAAAGUAAGGUGUGGAAUUGUUAGAAUCUUGUCUGGUACUUUCAAACGCCAGAGCUCCAUUUUCAAAUGUCACAGCCUGGGCAUCAUGGCUAGGUGAGGCUUAGCUUUUGUUCCUAUUUCUAUAAGUCAGUGAAUCUCUCUGAAGGCAUUUGGUCACUUUGCAAGCACACAGAGAAGGCACAUUGUAUACAUUCUGUCUCUCCACUGAAAAGCUGUGUUCUUCCAUUAGGGAGGGCCAGCAAGGAAGCUGGAAAGGGACUUGUCUAGGUUUUAUACAGAGCGAAUCAUGUUGUCCCUUUGAUGCGCUUCAUAGAGGCUAUCAUAUACACUCAAAACAAAAUCCCCACUGGCAAUAACACAUCACAGAUAGCCUCAGCUUACUGUGGCUCUUCAAGCCAGUGGCAUGGCUUCUCUGGGUUCACGUGGCAGAGCAGAGGAGGAUAGGUGGCCCAAUUGCAUGCCCAGUUCCAGACAGGAGUGAUAAGAUUCAAACUUGCUCUGGACUCUGGGGUAAACCAAGUAUGGGCCUCUAAGACCUUGUCUUUGCUCUCAGAGUUUGACAUGAUAAUCCUGCUUGCUCUUUGGACCUCCCUGGCUACAAUAGGCACAGAGAAAGAAGAGAACCCUCCUCCACCUACAAAUCCCCGUAGUAUCCCAUUCUAUCAGCCCCCUUGUUCCUGCAUGGGGAGGGAGUGGAGACCUCAGCUACCAAGCAGAACAGGUAUAAAACCCAGGCCAUUCAGAUCUGGGCAGAGUGAUCCUAGGGAAGGGGCAGAGACUGCAAGUCUGAGAUGCAAAAUACCUGUCCUAGCCUCAGGGAACCCCAAGACUAGGACCAGGGACCAGGAUACUCUGGACAUGGCUGGAUGAGGGAUUAUGGGGGCAAGGGAGGAGCUUAAGACUCACUUUUCUUUUUCUGCUAGCAGGGAGCCAGGUUCUGUAGCAACUGUGGAUAUAGCCAGGACAGAAGGACUUCCUAUGCUCUGGCCCAAUCUCCUUUGAAAGAAAUAGGCUAAUGUCAGUUCUCUACCCAACCCACCCAGCCCACCAACCUACCCCCUCACCUCACCCUGUCCUCCUAUUUGAAAUUAUGGACGAGGAGGGAGUCAUCACACUGCAGCCCAGCCUGCUCUGACUCCCAGACAACAAGAGUGAACUUCAUGUUCUGCAGCGGGGGGGAUAACCCUAAAAGCUGACCCUGGGAGGUGCCCGGCAGCAUGUGGAGUGGCAGCCUCUAAUGAGGAGCUUUCUGUGGUUUCUGAGGGGGUAGAGAAUAGGAAGCCACUUACAUGGAAGGAACUGGAGCCCUGACAUUUUUUUCUCUUUGAGGUUGGAGCUGGGAGGGAAGGCAGAUAGCAGCACCUGCCAUCCACACUCAGUCACAAAGCAUUCGCUGAGCUCUUCUUUAAGGCUGACCCUGCCAGAGGGGAAAUCAGAAGUUCAAAACACAUGUCUCCACCCUGCAAAGGGGUUUCCAGAGCUGCUAGACAUCUCUGGUGGCCUGAAGACAUCAGGCGCAAUCCAUUAACCCUGUGAAUGUUGACUGUUGCGGUUGCACAGCAAAGCCUUUGCAGAGAUGAUCAACUAUGGGUCCCCCGGGUUGGCUCCUGAGACAGUAAAUGUUAUCCUGUGUUACAACAGAAGAGAAAGACUGAGGGGGAUUUUAUAAUGGCACAUGCACAAGGCCAGGGUGAUGAAAAAAUGGUGUACAAAAAGACUUGAAGUUGUGUGUGAGGAGGAGGCAGCCACAAGCACAGAAGCACUGACCGGCAGAAGCAUCUGCAGGGGCAAGGACCGGCUUCUUGUAUACAAACUGUACUGGGCAUGUGGCCUUGAAUUUGGCCUAGUUAAAAGAAAAUUGUUAGACUUCUGACUUCCCAGAACUGUUAGAGAGUAAGUCUAAGUUGCUUUAUGCCUCCAGAUCUGUGAUAAUUUGUUAUAGUAGCCCCAGGGCUAUCCUUGCAGAUGAAGUAGAAGCCUUGGUCUAAAGCCACUUCGGGUAAGUAGAGUUACAUUCACUCUCUUGGGAAUAUAUAUUGAGUGACCCUAAUGGUCCAGACAUAGGAGCUGUGAACAAAGAAAUGGCAUCCUUGAUGACACUGGGAUGGGAGUCAGAAGCAGGUAAUACAUAGAAAGUGUCUUAGUCACUGAUCUAUUCCUGUGAAAAGACACUGUGACCAAGGAAACUCUUAUAACGGAAAGCAUUUAAUUAAGAUCUGGCUUACAGUUAGUCCAUUGUCAUC